GUCUAAAGGGCUUACCUGACACGCUGAGAGGAGAUGCAUGGCCGACGUCAGCCUGUGUCGUGAGAUGACCAGUUAAAUCUGGUAACAGGCGAGACCCGUGUGCAUAUUUAAAUUUACAAUAUGCAGACUGCCCGGGUAACCGGGAGGAAGGUGCGGGCUACGUUAGGUGAGUACGUCCCAAAUGCCCUGGGCUACACGCGCGCGGCAAUGCUGCAUUAAUCUCAUAAACUGCAGCUUAGUUCAGAUUGAGGGUUGCAACUCACCCUCAUGACGCUGGAAUUCGUAGUAAUCGGAUUUUAUUAGAGUCCGGUGAAUAAGUCAAUGCUCCUUGCACUCACCGAAAGAAAUGUGCUUGGCAGCUUUGUAUUCUAACAAGUGAAAUUCUUGUAGUUAUUUUUUCAAAACCA
rnacentral:rRNA from 1 species